rnacentral:rRNA from 1 species
UACGGGGGGGAGCAAGCGUUGUUCGGAUUUACUGGGCGUAAAGGGCGCGUAGGCGCCUUGUCAGUCAGGCGUGAAAGCCCCGGGCUCAACCUGGGAACGGCGCUUGGGACGGCGAGGCUGGAGUUCGGGAGAGGAGAGUGGAAUUCCCAGUGUAGAGGUGAAAUUCGUAGAUAUUGGGAAGAACACCGGUGGCGAAGGCGGCUCUCUGGACCGACACUGACGCUGAGGCGCGAAAGCGUGGGGAGCAAACAGG